ACACCCACACCCUGCACACCUACACCCUGUACACCCAGGCUCUGCACACCCAUUCUGUGUGCACAUGUUGUACACACCCACACCUUGUAUACCAACAUUCUGCACACCUAUACCCUCCCACCCACACCCUGUACACCCAUACCCUGCACACCCACACCCUGCGAGACUGGCUGGCCUCCCCUGUGCCUGGACCACUGAGCAUUUCAAACAUUCUUUUGCCCACCCAGCCCCCUUCUGGGCUCUCUGCAAGUGCCUUGGGUACUUGGGUAAGCCAGAGAACAAAGGUCUCCAGACUCACCCAUAUGUUCCCAGCCCCACUUGUCCUCACAGGCUCAGCAGAUGCCAGAUGAGAGCCUGAACCCAGCCCAGCCCCCUCCUGCUGGGUCACUGACUGCAGAGGUCUGCUUCUCUCCUCCAAGCACAUAGACAGAGCUCAGCUGCUCCACAGAAAGCUGAGGGCAUCUCAUAAAUACUGAAUGCCCUGCUGUGCAGAACAACUACAGUGAGAUAACAAGAGAGUGGGUCACAUGGGAGCGGACCAGAGCCCUCACUCUCCUGCAGAUUGGCUUGGGCAUCUGUACAAUGUGUCCAAAAGGGCUUCCUGUUCAGCUGUUUGUCCACAUGCAGAUAUGGAGGGUAUCCUUCCUUGCAGACCCUUUGCCAGGCUGAGAGAGGGGCAAAUGUCUUCCCUGAGGAGUCUCACAGGGGUCAUAAACCUAUGAAGACUGACUUUAUCUGGAAAUGAGCAGAUCCCCUGAGAACAAGAGAUUGGACCAGGCAUGUCCAGCUG